rnacentral:lncRNA from 1 species
UUCUUACAUGGUGACUUAGCUGAGGAAGUCUAUAUGAAAUUGCCCCCUGGUCUGGAGGUCACAUGUUCUUCUUCUUAUCCUUUGGUCUGUCUUCUUCAAAAAUCUUUGUAUGGUUUAAGGCAAGCUUCCAGGCAAUGGUAUGCCAAGCUGUCACAGGCCUUGUGUUCUAAGGGUUUCUCUUCUUCUCUCAAUGAUUAUUCUCUUUUCCUUAAGAAAUCUGGCUCUUCUAUUGUCUUGUUGGCUGUAUAUGUUGAUGACAUGAUUCUUACUGUAAUAAUUUGGAGGAGAUCACUGCUUUGAAAAGCUUUCUGGAUCAUGAGUUUAAAAGAUCAUUCUUACUGGUAAUAAUUUGGAGGAGAUCACUGCUUUGAAAAGCUUUCUGGAUCAUGAAUUUAAAAUCAAGGACUUAGGGGUGCUGAACUAUUUUUUGGGUAUUGAGGUCUCUUAUCUUCCUACUAGACUUCUUCUCAACCAGAAAAAAUUCAUCACUGACCUCCUCUUGGCCUAUCAUUGUGACGAUGUAUCUCCUGUUACUUGCCCUCUUGACCUCUCUAUCAAACUCAAACUGGAUUUGGGAGAUCCUCUUCCCUCUCCUGAAACCUAUAGAUGCCUAGUGGGAAAACUCAAUUUCCUCACCCACACCAGACCUGACUUAGCCUUUGUUGUCCAGCAUUUAAGUCAGUUCCUCCAGAGAAACUCAAUUUCCUCACCCACAGCAGACCUGACUUAGCCUUUGUUGUCCCGCAUUUAUGUCAGUUCCUCCAGAAGCCUACAUCCUCUCAUAUGCUUGCUGCUUUGCAUACCUUAAGGUAUCUCAGAGGCAUCUCUGACCUUGGCAUCUCUCUCAGUAACAUUCCUAACCUCUCCUUAUCUGCUUACUGUGAUAGUGACUGGGCUUCCUGCUCAGACACCAGAAGAUCUGUAUCUGGCUUUUGUGUUCUGCUAGGUGACUCCCUUAUUGGUUGAAAGGCUAAGAAGCAGCCUGUAGUGUCCCUCUCUUCUGCUGAGGCUGAGUAUAGAGCCAUCAGCAAGGUUGUGGGUGAGCUCACCUGGCUCAUUCAUUUACUGUCUGAUUUUGGUGUGGCUGUUACAUCUCCUGUCCCAGUUUAUUGUGAUAAUCAGGCAGCCCUUCACAUUGCCAAG